ACAACCACAGAGGAACAACAACCUCCUCCUCUGACAAACCUCACGACACACCAGAUUGCACCUGCACCUCCAACUACCCCCAAACAACUACUGAACUCACAACCAUGCCCACAAAUGUCAGUACAUACGGACCCACAACUACCACAGUGACACAACUACAACAGCACCCAACUACCACAGCACCCACAACUAUCACAGCACCCACAACUACACAGCACCCCAACUACAAAACUUUAAGUAAAAACCCAACCACCGAUCUCACAACCCAUAUUGUGGACAGUACAACAAAAAGCAGUGGCCUAGAUACGUUGUUGUACUGAGGAUAAAACUGUCCUCUCUGAUCCAACUAACAGAUGAUUACAUCAGAAACGUGGUGUUACAGCAGCUCCGUGUGGAACUGAUCAGAGGAGGGCUGCCAGGAGACUUCACGCUACGCCUGAUAGC